AACCAGCACCUCAAGUGGUCAGGAUGAUUAUUGGGCCUAAAGCAUCCGUAGCCUGUUCUGUAAGUUUUCGGUUAAAUCUAUGCGCUCAACGUAUAGGCUGCCGAAAAUACUGCAGAACUAGGGAGUGGGAGAGGUAGACGGUACUCGGUAGGAAGGGGUAAAAUCCUUUGAUCUAUUGAUGACCACCUGUGGCGAAGGCGGUCUACCAGAACACGUUCGACGGUGAGGGAUGAAAGCUGGGGGAGCGAACGGG
rnacentral:rRNA from 1 species